GUUUCACUUUAUUGUUUUAGUCUAAUUUGGUUUCUAUCUGUCAACUUGUAUUUUUUUAGAGAUAUGGUAAUAACAAUAUGCCGAUGCCGAAAGCAAGGGCGGUGGAGUCAUGGAUGAUGGUGAAAGGAUAUACUCAAUAAGUUGCCGCCAACAGAUUGGAGGUUGCUCAUUUAGUCAUAUUAUUCGAUAUACUGACUUUUUCUUUUCAGCUCACAACUUUUCUAUACAGAGUAUUUGUUGAUGUCACUCAUGAGAUGAAUAACGAAGAUGGAAUAAUACAACCUUUCAUCUCUCUGUUCUGAGGGAUAGAUGUGUGGAUCACUAGGAUCUGAUACAACCAAAUCAAAGUCAUAACUUUAGAGUCUCGCAGACCGAUCCGAUAAUCUUCAGGUUAGCUGUUCUUCAUCCUUCUAGCAACAUCUUCUGAAACAUGCUUUCCUUUUUCUCCCGUUAAAUCUUCUUAA